AACGCACAUUGCGCCCUCUGGUAUUCCGGGGGGCAUGCCUGUUCGAGCGUCAUUAUAACCACUCAAGCUCUCGCUUGGUAUUGGGGUUCGCGGUCUCGCGGCCCCUAAAAUCAGUGGCGGUGCCUGUCGGUUCUACGCGUAGUAAUACUCCUCGCGAUUGAGUCCGGUAGGUUUACUUGCCAGCAACCCCUAAUUUUUACAGGUUGACCUCGGAUCAGGUAGGGAUACCCGCUGAACUUAA
rnacentral:misc_RNA from 1 species